rnacentral:rRNA from 1 species
AGACGGGACCCGCACAGCGUGGAUGAUGUGGAUUAAUUCGAUGCAACGCGAAAACCUUACCUACCCUUGACAUGUCCGGAAUCCCGAAGAGAUUUGGGAGUGCUCGCAAGAGAGCCGGAACACAGGUGCUGCAUGGCUGUCGUCAGCUCGUGUCGUGAGAUGUUGGGUUAAGUCCCGCAACGAGCGCAACCCUUGUCAUUAGUUGCCAUCAUUUGGUUGGGCACUCUAAUGAGACUGCCGGUGACAAACCGGAGGAAGGUGGGGAUGACGUCAAGUCCUCAUGGCCCUUAUGGGUAGGGCUUCACACGUCAUACAAUGGUCGGUACAGAGGGUUGCCAACCCGCGAGGGGGAGCUAAUCCCACAAAGCCGAUCGUAGUCCGGAUCGCAGUCUGCAACUCGACUGCGUGAAGUCGGAAUCGCUAGUAAUCCGUGGAUCAGCAUGUCACGGUGAAUACGUUCCCGGGUCUU